rnacentral:rRNA from 1 species
GACGAACGCUGGCGGCGUGCCUAAUACAUGCAAGUCGAGCGCAGGAAACUGACGGAACUCUUCGGAGGGAAGGCAGUGGAAUGAGCGGCGGACGGGUGAGUAACACGUAAGGAACCUGCCUCAAGGAUUGGGAUAACUCCGAGAAAUCGGAGCUAAUACCGGAUAGUUCAACGGACCGCAUGGUCCGCUGAUGAAAGGCGCUUCGGCGUCACCUUGAGAUGGCCUUGCGGUGCAUUAGCUAGUGGGUGGGGUAACGGCCCACCAAGGAGACGAUGCAUAGCCGACCUGAGAGGGUGAUCGGCCACACUGGGACUGAGACACGGCCCAGACUCCUACGGGAGGCAGCAGUAGGGAAUCUUCCACAAUGGACGAAAGUCUGAUGGAGCAACGCCGCGUGAGUGAUGAAGGUUUUCGGAUCGUAAAACUCUGUUGUAAGGGAAGAACACGUACGAGAGGAAAUGCUCGUACCUUGACGGUACCUUACGAGAAAGCCACGGCUAACUACGUGCCAGCCGCCGCCGUAACAC